rnacentral:rRNA from 1 species
ACGAACGCUGGCGGCGUGCUUAACACAUGCAAGUCGAACGCUGAAGCUUGGGUGCUUGCAUCUGGGUGGAUGAGUGGCGAACGGGUGAGUAAUACGUGAGUAACCUGCCCUUGACUCUGGGAUAAGCCUGGGAAACUGGGUCUAAUACUGGAUACUACAUUCUCUCGCAUGGGGGGGUGUGGAAAGGGUUUUACUGGUUUUGGAUGGGCUCACGGCCUAUCAGCUUGUUGGUGGGGUAAUGGCCUACCAAGGCGACGACGGGUAGCCGGCCUGAGAGGGUGACCGGCCACACUGGGACUGAGACACGGCCCAGACUCCUACGGGAGGCAGCAGUGGGGAAUAUUGCACAAUGGGCGAAAGCCUGAUGCAGCGACGCCGCGUGAGGGAUGACGGCCUUCGGGUUGUAAACCUCUUUCAGCACGGAAGAAGCGAAAGUGACGGUACGUGCAGAAGAAGCGCCGGCUAACUACGUGCCAGCAGCCGCGGUAAUACGUAGGGCGCAAGCGUUGUCCGGAAUUAUUGGGCGUAAAGAGCUCGUAGGCGGUUUGUCGCGUCUGCUGUGAAAGCCCGGGGCUUAACCCCGUGGUGUGCAGUGGGUACGGGCAGACUAGAGUGCAGUAGGGGAGACUGGAAUUCCUGGUGUAGCGGUGAAAUGCGCAGAUAUCAGGAGGAACACCGAUGGCGAAGGCAGGUCUCUGGGCUGUUACUGACGCUGAGGAGCGAAAGCAUGGGGAGCGAACAGGAUUAGAUACCCUGGUAGUCCAUGCCGUAAACGUUGGGCACUAGGUGUGGGGGACAUUCCACGUUUUCCGCGCCGUAGCUAACGCAUUAAGUG